CCCGGAAACCUAGCCAAUCAGAGCGCCGUUUUCAAAACAACGGCCACGAGAAGGCCUAGGAGCUACUGGGGAGGAAGCGUUGGCCUACGUCGAAGCCGAGGCCGGAGCGGAGGGCGGGAAAAGGCAGGAGGCGGAGCGCUUGCUGAUUGGGUAACUCUCGCGCGCCGGCUGCCGUAAGGUCCAAUGAAAAUAAGGGAGUAACAAUUUGGUCCAAUCAACGGUAAGAUCUCAGAAUGAGUGUCCCACGGCCUUUCCUGCGCAGUCCUUUCAUCAAACUAAGUGUCUCUGUAACACACAUUCCGAUUGGUGUACAUCUCCCGCCCCUUGAGGAGUCCGAGCGGGUAAAACCACUAGAACCAAUCAAAUGGAGGGUCGGCAGAAACCCCUCCUUCCUGUUGCCUUUAAGAAACCGGAAAGAGAUGAAUUCACCAGGAGCCCGCCCCUUGCCGUUAGGGCGGUUUCAAAACAAUCUGCCCACCAAUCGCAGUUAUUGUCUUAGCUCACUAAAGCUGGUAGCGAUGGCUCAUUUUAGGAAAAGUUCACCAGAUUGGCCGUGCUUCAGAGGACUGCCUCACAAAUUUCGCUGUAGGAGGAGGUAUACGAAAUAGAGAUUAAGUGGAUACACAGUUCGUAAUCUGGAAGGAACCCAGUUGCCUUUAGGAAAAGCAAAAUUUUGAGUUGAGAGAGUCCCGAAGGUUUGGCUAUAGAAACUAGACUAACAACGGGAGGCAAGUUGUAAAGGACACGGCCUCCCCUUCCCUUGGGUAGUCCGCGGCCGCCUUGCUCUAUGGUCGGGUACCUGACGUGGAACGGGCGCUCUGCACGCGACCAUAGAGCCUUCCCCUCCCGAAAGACAUCCAGAAGUUCACCGACCGCUCUCCCGAAUCCUCUAAUCGGCUGUUCCCGUAAAUCGGGCUGUCUGGCGUCUGUACCGACAAGCUCAACCCCACGGAUCCGUCAUUAACCUUCGCGCUCAGGAAUACAAAAGCCACAGAGCUUCCCAGUGUCUAACGCUGCACCACCUGUCGCCUCUAACUCAAAACAAAACUCGACUUCCCACAAUGAUUUGUUCUAAAAAAGUUUGUGGCCCGGAUUGAACUGUCCCCGGUUCUCAGGAGCCGCCACUGGAGGGCGUCCGGGCGCUGCCAAGGGUUUCUCCAUUUGCUGCCGGCCACACCCGCGAACGCCCGCUCGCGAGUGCGUGCCAGACACGGUGGGCUGGUCUUCGCUGGAGGCCCUUUGUGGGUCCGUGAUGAUCGGAGGUGUUCUGUGCCUGUGUUUCUAUGUCAGUCUGAACGUUCGGGGUUGUGAGUACCUGUUGUACUCUACAUGUCUCUUGAGUAUUUGUGUCACUUGACUCUAGGUCUGUGUCUCUUCCUAUUCGUGGCGGGUAUCUGCCUGAGCAUGUUUGUAAAUAUGCUUGUGUCUGUGUAAUUCUGUGUGUCUGUGUUACUCUAUGCGUCUGAGUUUCAGUCUCUGUAUUUGUGACCAGGUCCUCCUGGGUGUGUCCAUUAAUUCAUGUGUCUGUUAGUUUGCGGCGGAACAGGUGUGUGUGUGUGUGUGUGUGUCUGUGAUCCUGGAUCUGUAUGCCAGUUCCUCACUGGGGGUUUCUGAGAACCUGCAUCUCUUUGCUUGUAUGUCUUUUUGUCUAUCUGUGUGUUCAUUUCUACCCUCUCUAGUGAGGACAGAAUUCCAAGACCCUACCAAGCCCUUCUUUUUUCUGAUGGGGGAACUGAAUUGCCAGGGAAUGGGGCCACAUCACAGCUAAAAGGAGACAAGAGGAGACAGAAGCUCGUUGAUAUACAAAGUUUUAUGUGACCUGAGCCCCUCUGGAGGCACCAGAGUCCACACUCUGUACUCAGAAGGUGAGGGAUUGGCUCACGGGGGCAACAUGGCCCGAAAGGUGGGAGAUCGUCCAUCCCCUGCGGGAAAGGAGGCAUCCCUAAUGCAUUGCACAGGCUUGAAGGGGGCACACCCCCACAGUUGGGGAGGAGGAAGCAAUGAUAGCUAAGAAGGAGAGGGGCACCCCAAAGAAUACUACAGUAUAGGGUUAGAACCUUGAAAUUGCACCUAAUAGUCUAGACCUGUGGACCUUUAGAAUCUUAGAAACUUAGAACAUUUGAGUCUUAGAACUACAGUGCCUAGAACUAUAAGAUUUUAGAAAUGUGGAUUCUUGGACUCUUAACCAUGGUCCUAGAGAGGCAGAAUGCAGCAAAGAACCUAAAGGUGUCCAACAUUAGAAAUUAUUAGAACUUUGGUGUCUAGUUAGU
rnacentral:lncRNA from 1 species